UAUGUUUGAUACUUUUAUUCAGUAUAUAAUCACACACGAUUAGAACAGACUGGUUUAGAUAGGUUGCACGCACGCACACACACGCACACACACACAGGGACAUUAAGACUGAAUCGAUAAAAUAACAUUUGAAAGGAGAAAUGAAAGAAGCGUGUGUCCCUCCUCGCCAUACGGGCCGCGGGUUCAUCAGCAGUAGCAUCACACUAACGUCAGUAGACCGGGGUGAACGCGGGGUUAACUCGAGUUAACUAAGCACAACCACAUCCCCCCAGAUAAGUCUCAGACCAGGGCAGUCAUAUACAUGGUUUGACCUGCUGAGCUUCCUUUACCACGACUGUUUCGUCAAUGUUCAAUCUUUAUGUCACCGGCCAAAGUGAGUCACAGGGAAUUUAGGGACAUGACUUUAAGGUGCAGAAGGGGCAUCAAGGAGGCCUCGUGGUGGUCUGCAAGGACAUUAUGGGUCGGUAAACCCCCUUGCGAUGGGUCGAUGUCCCACCAUAACUUAGGCUUAACCCUACACUAGGAGGCCUCCAGGUGGUCUGUGGCACCUGUUCAGCUGGGGGUCCAGCACCAUGAACCUACACUAUCAUUGCCCCUCAUCAGUGGAUUGAAGGCUUUAUUUUAUCCCGUCAAAUCGUAACUCAUUUUGCAUUUCAUUCAGGUUUUCCGCCCUAAGAUCAAAUCCCAGAUGACUCUCCAAGAAUGCGGUUUGAACACAGCCGAUGAACAAAGUACCCUUACCCGGCCACUCACAAAUCAACCAGAGGGAGAAAUCACACUCUCACACACACACACACACAUACAUACAUACAUGCACACGUACGCACGCAUAAAAAUAACAGCUUUGCCUAUCGCUUAGUAACAGUUGUCAAGUAGAAAUGGCACUCUGUAACCAUGGAGAUAUAUAACCUUAUUAGAUCCCAGUAAACAAAAUCAGCAUCAAAUCACAACAUCAAUAACAACAACAUGUUGUUACGUCCCAUCGUUCUAGGGUCCUGCACCAGAUCCUGUAGAGUCCUGUCCUAAUGUAGUCCUGUGCUGGAGUCAUGUGCUGGAGUCCUGUACUGGAGUCAUGUAGAGUCCUGUCCAACUGUAGUCCUGUGCUAGAGAGUCCUGUACUGGAGUCCUGUACUUGAGUUAUGUAGAGUCCUGUGCUAGAAUCCUGUUACUGUACUGGAGUCAUGUAGAGUCCUGUACUGUACUGUAGUCCUGUGCUAGGGUCCUGUACUGGAGUUAUGUAGGGUCCGGUAAGGAGGACCUGUAGAGUCCUCUACUAAAGUCCUCUACUAGAGUCCUCUACUAUUGUCCUGUAGAGUCCUCUACUAGAGUCCUGUAGAGUCCUCUACUAGAGUCCUCUACUAGAGUCCUGUAGAGUCCUCUACUAGAGUCCCUUUAGGUCAGAGGAAUGAGGGAGGCUCUAAGAACCCACGUUCUCCUUCUAUUCCUCCCCAGGCCAUCUGUGCAUGUUGUCACGGCAACCAGGAGGGGAGAACACACACCUCCCGUCCCUCGGCAUCUCAUUUCGCCACCGUUGCCCUGUACUACCAGGGGGGGGCGGGGGGUGGGGAGGGCCACAGCCCCCAGCAAAGUGAUGUCCGCUCCCAAAGCCCAUUGAGGGUCAUAACGUCCCGCUUCAACACGUCUCCCACGGCGACCGGUGCUGAAACAGCCAGGCUAGCUAUAGAAAAGAUAUUGCUGUGUAAAACACGACCAGGACUAACAAAAUGUAGAAACGGGGACGGUCUCUCAUGGAUAUAUAUAUAUAUAUAUUCAUGUUGCCGACACUCAUCACAUCUAUGCUGCUACACUGUAGGAAAUAACAUGUGACUAAGUGUGUGUGUGUGUGUAGUGCUGUCUGAGGGCUAUUGCUCGGACAAUAUGCCUGGUGCUGUCAGUGGGAUAGGGUGAGUGACAGAGAGGCAGAGAGAGGAAGAGAGAGAGAGGAAGAGAGAGAGAGCAAUAGAAUGAAGUGUCUGUUCCGUCUUGUGUCUUUGAGCCUGAAUCAUUUCUACUGUUCUGCUCUACUUACACACACACACACACACACACACGCACGCACACACGCACGCACUCACACACACCUCAUGUCCCCGAUUCUCCCGUCAGCCGGCGGUGGCGGUACUGACUCUCGUCAGCGCCCACGUCGUCUUCGUCCCGCCCCUCCUCCUCCUCCUGCUCCUCCUCCUCCUCCUCCUGAUCCCCCCCCGGCGCCCGCCCCCAGCUGGGGGGUCCGGCCUCGUAGACGUCCACGCAGGGGGAGAAGAGGGUCUGCUUGGUGGCGGAGUGGGUGGGCCGGGGGGAGGGAGAGAGGGAGGUCUUGGCUGACCGGCUCACCGGCGGAGCCAGCAGGGAGUCCAGCGUGGGGGCCAGGAGCAGCACUGGGGGAGGGGGGGAGGAGGGGGGAGAGGGGGGGGAGGCCGGCCUGUGCUGUUCGGCUCCAGAGGUUGGGAUGCAGGUCUGGAUGGGCGGUGGGCCUUCACCCCUUCCAGGGGCGGGGCUUAAGUUAGGGGCGGGGCUAGGGUCAGAGGUGGGUCUUAGAAUAGGUGUGGGGUUAGGGUCAGCUUGGGCCUUAUCUGUAGGGGUGUGGUUAAGGUUGGGGGUGUGGCUUAUAGUAGGGGCGUGGUUAGGGUCAGGGCUAGGGUUUAGUGGAGCGACGAGGUCAGGGCUUGGGGCAGGAAGUCCCUCUGCAGCGACCGUUUCUCCUGGACAGGCUCGCUCCCUCCCGGGGUUCUGACCGGUCAGGAUUACGAUGGCUUUGGAGACGCAGGCGGCCAGGUCAGACUGAGGCAUUAUGGGAGACGCGGUGCGAGCGUCGUCUUCUCCGGGAGUGUGCGGCGCUACCGCUACCGACGACACAAUUCCCGUCGCCGUGGUUACCGACGCCGCGGUCUCCCCGGUGACCGUCACCUCGUCCGCGACGCUCCCUGACACGCCUCCUUCGUUGUUGUCGCCGGGGUCAGCGGUAGCCACGGCGACCGUCUCCACGACCACCACCAUGGACUGGGCCCGGCGCACUGCCUCUAGGGCCACCUCCGAGGCAACGGUCUCCGCGGUGACGUGCAGGGGGAAGGGGGGCACGCCGCAGGGCGUGGAGGCGUGGCUUGUGUCCGUCUCGUAGGUGACGUUCACCGAGAGGGAGGAGCUACAUGGAGACGACGGGCAGCAGGAGUCACAGGAGCAGCUGGAGCUAAGGCAGGCACACACACACACACACACACACACAAAAUUAUUUUUCAAUCGUUCCGCUCCGAACGGAACCGGUAUAUUUAACACGUUUUCGUUCUUGCGUUCCGCCACCAACAUAUCGUUCCUGAACCGGUUCGGAACGUAAAAAAACAUUCGUUCUUAACGUUCCGGCAGUGUUAUUGGGCCUAGUCUAUUUUUGUGGUCGAUAAAAGGGUGACCAGAUGUGUCGCUUUGUGCGGGACAGUCCCGCAUUUCCAUUACUUUGUACACGUUCCGCAAAUUGAGACGUUUUCCCGCAUUGUUAUUAGGGCUGGCCCGAAUUGUUCGAAUAUUCAAAUACUCGUUGGGAAAAUUAGUAUUCAAAGCUUAAAUCAGUAUUCGGAGCUUCAUUGUUUCACGUACGUGACGUUACCAGAGCGAGGGAGGCAAACUCUAAGCGACACCAAGCAUAGAAGCGAGAGAGGUGGAGGAAGAAUAGAUAUCUUGUUUCCCUUUACUUUAUAACAACAUUAGCGGGAUCUCGGGAGGAAAAUAAAUGCUUAGUGAAAUGCUAACCUUAGCUUAGUUGUUUGUUUACGUUCGCUGUACAGCGCCCCGCCAAUCAACUGUGACUGGCUUGCUGCAGAGCGUGAGCGUCUUGCGAAUACCCGGUCAUUAUAAUGGAUAUAAUAUUGACACAUAAGACAAUCAAUAUUCGGUAUUUGUUAUGGAUUUAUUGUACAAAGUCCCUGUAAAGAUGCACGUUCCAGGAUGAAUUGAAAAGCUCCCGUAAGGGCUGAGAUGGCAGAGAACAGCUGAUUUGGUACGGAACAACAGCUGUUCGCUUCGACUAAGUAACUCCAACUUACUUAGGCCUACUUAUUUGAGUUCAAAAGCUAUUAAAUCUUCAACAAAAUAUGCAGAUGCUGUCAAAAUCGGUUCCAGGGAGUAUAUAGGGAUUAUUAAUGUUGUUUUUGAUAGUGUGUUUUUCUGGAAUGAUUAUUCGAAUAUUCGCUCGGAAAAACCAACGAGUAUUUAAAGCCUGAAAAAUGGCAAAUUGACAGUCAGACUCGAUUUUUUUAAUAAGUGUUUUAUAAUCUGGCAUUUAUCAAAUAGCUGUGUGUAGACAGCAGUGAGGGCUGUCAUCAGGGAGCGGGCGGGCUGUUUGAUCAUGUCAAAGAAACUUGGACGCGGACGCAGGUUAAGGGCACGCCCACCAACAAGAAACAAUGCAAAGGCGAUAUAGUGGACUCGGUUAAUUAAGCUCACGUUACCUUUGUUGAAGAUAGAGCUCAGUGCAACUGUUUCUUACAAAUCGCCUCUCGCCAGGGUGGUGGUGGGAAUUUGUGACAACUGAGCUUAGCGGGCGGCGAAGUGAACGCGGCAACCGGAAAUAUUUUUAUUUCUUCGUGAAAUAGGCUAUGCUUUUGUGAAAUUGUAUAGGCUAUAUAGAGAACAAAACUGUUUUGGGGAUUUCAGAAUAGCAUUUCUGUUCCGGAACAGUUGAAGACCAUUUGGUUUUUGUUUCCGUUUCCGUUCCUCGUAAAAUUCUGUUCGUUUUCGGUUUUCGUUUUCGUUCCUUGAACCGGUUUGGAGCCCUGACUAGUACUAGUACUAGUACUAGUACUAGUACUAGUACUAGCACCGGGCAGUACCUGUUGUCGGAGCUGAGGGAGGACAGCAUGUCGCUGCAGUGGGCCAGCUGGGGCGCUGGUGGUGUGUGAGGAGGUGGGG
ensembl:lncRNA